AUACUUACCUGGCAGAGGAGAUACCAUGAUCAUGAAGGUUGUUUUCCCAGGGCGAGGCUUUUCCAUUGCACUCCGGAUGUGUGCUGACCCCUGCGAUUUCCCCAAAUGUGGGAAACUCGACUGCAUAAUUUGUGGUAGUGGGGGACUGAGUUCCCACUCUCCCCUA
rnacentral:snRNA from 1 species